rnacentral:rRNA from 1 species
GACGAACGCUGGCGGCGUGCUUAACACAUGCAAGUCGAACGGAAAGGCCCUGCUUUUGUGGGGUGCUCGAGUGGCGAACGGGUGAGUAACACGUGAGUAACCUGCCCUUGACUUUGGGAUAACUUCAGGAAACUGGGGCUAAUACCGGAUAGGAGCUCCUGCUGCAUGGUGGGGGUUGGAAAGUUUCGGCGGUUGGGGAUGGACUCGCGGCUUAUCAGCUUGUUGGUGGGGUAGUGGCUUACCAAGGCUUUGACGGGUAGCCGGCCUGAGAGGGUGACCGGGCACAUUGGGACUGAGAUACGGACCAGACGAGUACGGGAGGCAGAAGGGGGGAAUAUUGCACAAUGGGCGGAAGCCUGAUGCAGCAACGCCGCGUGCGGGAAGACGGCCUUCGGGUUGUAAACCGCUUUCGCCUGUGACGAAGCGGGAGUGACGGUAAUGGGUAAAGAAGCACCGGCUAACUACGUG